rnacentral:rRNA from 1 species
GACGAACGCUGGCGGCGUGCUUAACACAUGCAAGUCGAACGCUGAAGCUUGGUGCUUGCACUGGGUGGAUGAGUGGCGAACGGGUGAGUAAUACGUGAGUAACCUGCCCUUGACUCUGGGAUAAGCCUGGGAAACUGGGUCUAAUACUGGAUACGACAUGUCACCGCAUGGUGGUGUGUGGAAAGGGUUCUACUGGUUUUGGAUGGGCUCACGGCCUAUCAGCUUGUUGGUGGGGUAAUGGCUCACCAAGGCGACGACGGGUAGCCGGCCUGAGAGGGUGACCGGCCACACUGGGACUGAGACACGGGCCCAG